CAUUUCUCAGUUGAGAGAAUUAUCAUGUGGCUACAGGGUUUUAAUAAACCUUUUUGCAGCUAAAAUAAAAUGUUGAGGUUUGAUGGGAAAGCAGAUUGAAGUGGAACAUUGGUUACAUCAGUAAAUGUGCCUUAUUCUCAAUUGGCAGUGGUGAGUGUGAGUCAGUUUGUUUCAGCCUCUAAAAAUACCAUAUGUCUUUAUAAUUCCAAACAAGUCCUUAAGAUGGACAGAAGGAGUGUGCUUUUUUUUUUGCUUAAAUAUGGCUGCUGAAUAGCUCUGAAAACACAACAGCCCACAUCCUGGUUCACCACUGCCAUCCACCUCAUCAAAAAGAGUGACCUCAUAAAGGGACUUCUGACACUCUCAGCUGAAGUACAAGAAAAGGACUUCACACAUCCGAAGUACAAGAAAAGGACUUUUCCCUAAUUUUAGAAACCAAAGUGAAGGGGUGGACAUAUGGAUGCUUGAGUAUCUGUCUAAUACAGCAUCAAGAUAGAGCUGUAGCUUAUACCCAGACUUGGUUAACUCACUUUAUGAUUCUCAUGACCUGAAUCAAAAAAUAGCUUUAAGAUGGCUGAAUGGAUACUCCUCUAGUGAAUUGUUUUCUAUAAUUCAGAACCUGGAAUGCUACCUGCAGAUUAUGGAAGAUGGUAAAAUUCAUAACCUGGCAAAAGGGAAAAUAUUCACAUAAUUCUCUCGGCAAGAAACCAAAUCAAACUAUUCUUUUUAAUUGCAGGUGAGUAAUAGCACUCUUACAUUUCAUACAAAUAACGUCAGCACUCUCCUGCUCUGUGAUUGAUGGGAUGUUUUAAGUGGAGUACCUUAACUCAGCACAGCUGGUCUCUCGUUGGAUUCCUCUCCUAGCCUAAGAAAUUUUUGGGUUUGGAUGUAUUGGCAACAACUUUCCCUUCUAAGGCUGAAAAAUACUCCUCAAGAGAAUAGAUGUUGAAUUGUUAGCUCUCUGCUUGGUCUAUAUCCUUGCUAGUGAAAACCAGGAAUUACUGUGAGUUUUGUUUGGU
rnacentral:lncRNA from 1 species